AGAGUUCGAUCCUGGCUCAGGAUGAACGCUGGCGGCGCGCCUAACACAUGCAAGUCGAACGGCACCUAUCUUCGGAUAGAAGCGAGUGGCGAACGGCUGAGUAACACGUGGAGAACCUGCCCCCUCCCCCGGGAUAGCCGCCCGAAAGGACGGGUAAUACCGGAUACCCCGGGGUGCCGCAUGGCACCCCGGCUAAAGCCCCGACGGGAGGGGAUGGCUCCGCGGCCCAUCAGGUAGACGGCGGGGUGACGGCCCACCGUGCCGACAACGGGUAGCCGGGUUGAGAGACCGACCGGCCAGAUUGGGACUGAGACACGGCCCAGACUCCUACGGGAGGCAGCAGUGAGGGAUCUUGCGCAAUGGGGGGAACCCUGACGCAGCGACGCCGCGUGCGGGACGGAGGCCUUCGGGUCGUAAACCGCUUUCAGCAGGGAAGAGUCAAGACUGUACCUGCAGAAGAAGCCCCGGCUAACUACGUGCCAGCAGCCGCGGUAAUACGUAGGGGGCGAGCGUUAUCCGGAUUCAUUGGGCGUAAAGCGCGCGUAGGCGGCCCGGCAGGCCGGGGGUCGAAGCGGGGGGCUCAACCCCCCGAAGCCCCCGGAACCUCCGCGGCUUGGGUCCGGUAGGGGAGGGUGGAACACCCGGUGUAGCGGUGGAAUGCGCAGAUAUCGGGUGGAACACCGGUGGCGAAGGCGGCCCUCUGGGCCGAGACCGACGCUGAGGCGCGAAAGCUGGGGGAGCGAACAGGAUUAGAUACCCUGGUAGUCCCAGCCGUAAACGAUGGACGCUAGGUGUGGGGGGACGAUCCCCCCGUGCCGCAGCCAACGCAUUAAGCGUCCCGCCUGGGGAGUACGGCCGCAAGGCUAAAAC
rnacentral:rRNA from 1 species